AGUCGAGCGGACAUCUUCGGAUGUCAGCGGCGGACGGGUUAGUAACGCGUGGGAACGUGCCCUCUUCUACGGAAUAGCCCAGGGAAACUUGGAUUAAUGCCGUAUACGCCCGCAAGGGGAAAGAUUUAUCGGAGGAGGAUCGGCCCGCGUUGGAUUAGGUAGUUGGUGGGGUAAUGGCCUACCAAGCCGACGAUCCAUAGCUGGUUUGAGAGGAUGAUCAGCAACACUGGGACUGAGACACGGCCCAGACUCCUACGGGAGGCAGCAGUGGGGAAUCUUGGACAAUGGGGGAAACCCUGAUCCAGCCAUGCCGCGUGAUCGAUGAAGGCCUUAGGGUUGUAAAGAUCUUUCAGCUGGGAAGAUAAUGACGGUACCAGCAGAAGAAGCCCCGGCUAACUCCGUGCCAGCAGCCGCGGUAAUACGGAGGGGGCUAGCGUUGUUCGGAAUUACUGGGCGUAAAGCGCACGUAGGCGGAUAGUUAAGUUAGAGGUGAAAGCCCAGGGCUCAACCCUGGAACUGCCUUUAAUACUGGCUGUCUAGAGAUCGAGGGAGGUGAGUGGAAUUCCGAGUGUAGAGGUGAAAUUCGUAGAUAUUCGGAGGAACACCAGUGGCGAAGGCGGCUCACUGGCUCGAUACUGACGCUGG
rnacentral:rRNA from 1 species